CAGCGGGAUUGAGCUUGCUUCAUUGCCGGCGACCGGCGCACGGGUGAGUAACGCGUAUCCCCCCUUCCGCUGACUCGGGGAUAGCCUUUCGAAAGAAAGAUUAAUACCCGAUGGUAUCUUAAGCACGCGUGAGAUUAAGAUUAAAGAUUUAUCGGUAAGCGAUGGGGAUGCGUUCCAUUAGGCAGUUGGCGGGGUAACGGCCCACCAAACCUACGAUGGAUAGGGGUUCUGAGAGGAAGGUCCCCCACAUUGGAACUGAGACACGGUCCAAACUCCUACGGGAGGCAGCAGUGAGGAAUAUUGGUCAAUGGGCGAGAGCCUGAACCAGCCAAGUAGCGUGAAGGAUGACUGCCCUAUGGGUUGUAAACUUCUUUUAUAUGGGAAUAAAGUUGUCCACGUGUGGAUUUUUGUAUGUACCAUAUGAAUAAGGAUCGGCUAACUCCGUGCCAGCAGCCGCGGUAAUACGGAGGAUCCGAGCGUUAUCCGGAUUUAUUGGGUUUAAAGGGAGCGUAGGCGGAUUGUUAAGUCAGUUGUGAAAGUUUGCGGCUCAACCGUAAAAUUGCAGUUGAUACUGGCAGUCUUGAGUGCAGUAGAGGUGGGCGGAAUUCGUGGUGUAGCGGUGAAAUGCUUAGAUAUCACGAAGAACUCCGAUUG
rnacentral:rRNA from 1 species